AUCCUCCCUCUUUCCCGCUUCUCGGCCUCGCGCGAAUCGAAAUGCCACGACCCCAGUGUGUCAUAAUCGAGGUCUCCGCCCGCGCGUUUCGCUUGCUUUUGGGGGGCUGAUGUGCUCUGUUUUUUGUGGAUUCAUCGGCUUGCGAUCAGAGUGAUUCCCAUUUCCUGGAUUCAGGUGAGGGUGUUGAGCGUGAGACUACUUUAGUGGGCUGGAAGUGUAGGUUCGUAAAUCUGAGGGGUCGUCUCCCCAUUCUCAUCGAUUGAUUGUGCUAUGUAGGUAGCCAAUGCCUUAGUAUUUCCUGCUACAAUAGUUUUGGGGCCGAAAUUUCUCUACUGUCUUGACUUCAUUUUCAGAGGUUCAGUGGUAGACUGGCAGUGGACUAGGAACAGUGCAAAACGGAGUCAUGUUCUAUCUGCUUGUUUGCUGUAGAAAUAAUAUUUGAUUUAUUGGAUAAGUUGGAUAUGAUUCUUUCUUGAUCCCACUGAACUGUAGCUUGGAUUGGCUGAAAUCCACACUGCUUUUCUUGGAUCGAUUAAUUGAUAGGACUGCUGAAGGAUAUGACUCAUGAGUAUUUUUUUUCUCCUCAUACAUGGGGAUUACUUGUGCUUCAAAGUCCAUCUAUCCUACACAAUUGACCUCAUCAUCUCAUCUGGGAAUUCUUCUGCACCUUUCAAGAAAAAGCUGUAGCCUACUAGAGUUGUCAGCUUGAGCACGGGAGAUUUUCAGUUCCUUAAUUCCUAUAGGAAUUAAACAUUUCAAUGUGAAAUUCCCAUGUUCCAAACGGAGCCUAAGUUUAACUAUUGCUUUUGCUCUGAAGAUCCUUGUCGCAUAUUUAGUCCUGUUGUGUCUAAAUAUUUGUUUAAGCAGCAAAUCCAUUUUUUGUACGCAGCAAUCCAAUUAUCACUUUCUGGCUAUAAUUGCGUCAAACUUCAUUUAUAAUUGUCUAACCACAAACAAUAUAAUUGCUUUUCUUGUUUUUACAUAAGCAUACCAGACAUGGCCUUUUUUAGCUGCAUGAAUAUAUUUCAUUCCAAGUAGGGAGUUAUUUUUUAUCUUCUACUUAGCACUAAAUCCUGCUAGUAGUUGCUAUUAGUAGUUUUUUAUACAUAGCUCCAACAAAGUGGAUCACGGUUCCUCUACGCUUGAUUGGAUUUGUGUGUUGUAGUCUCGCAGAAUAAUAAGCAAGCCUCAUCUUAAGUAGCGAUCCAUUUGUAUGCAGCAAUUAAGUGGUCAGUUUUUGGCUAUAAUUGCGUCAAAAUUCAUUUAUAAUUGCCGAAGCACAGACAAUAUAACUGCCUUGUUUUUACAUAAGCAGGCCAGACAUGGGUUCAUAUGUCAUUUAAAGUUGAUGCUUCAUCAAUAAGGUUGAACUUCUGCUAGGAAACUAUCACACUCCGUAAUUAUUUCAACAGCUCAACAAACUUAUUAGCAAAUGAUACUGAGUUUCAUUGUCUUGUUUUGUCCUCACAUUUGCAUAUUUGGAAUUUUUUAGGAUCAUCAAUAAGGUAAUGUAGUCGAUUAAGCACAACCAUUCAGGGACCUUGCCGACUUGAACAUGCUUACACAAAUAUGAUGAUGGAGCCAGUCCAAGCUUUUUUUGCUUCUAGAGGAUGUGGUCUGAGCACUGGAUUUUAUUGUGUGAUGUUUAGUGAAACUGCUUUUGUAUAUGUUGUAAUUUGCUUAUAGUUAUUCAAAACUUUGCUUAUAUGUAACUGCUAAGUUGAAUUGCCUGUAUUAAAAAGAUAAAACCUCCAGAAGCAAGAAGGAAGUGGCGUGGGUUUGAAUCUGCGUGGUCA